UGGGGAAUUUUGGACAAUGGACGCAAGUCUGAUCCAGCCAUGCCGCGUGUGGGAAGAAGGCCUUCGGGUUGUAAACCGCUUUUGUCGGGGAAGAAACGAGUUUCUCUAAUACAGAGACUUAAUGACGGUACCUGAAGAAUAAGCACCGGCUAACUACGUGCCAGCAGCCGCGGUAAUACGUAGGGUGCAAGCGUUAAUCGGAAUUACUGGGCGUAAAGCGUGCGCAGGCGGUUAUAUAAGACAGGCGUGAAAUCCCCGGGCUCAACCUGGGAACUGCGCUUGUGACUGCAUAGCUAGAGUACGGUAGAGGGGGAUGGAAUUCCGCGUGUAGCAGUGAAAUGCGUAGAUAUGCGGAGGAACACCGAUGGCGAAGGCAAUCCCCUGGACCUGUACUGACGCUCAUGCACGAAAGCGUGGGGAGCAAACA
rnacentral:rRNA from 1 species